rnacentral:rRNA from 1 species
AGAGUUUGAUCCUGGCUCAGAACGAACGCUGGCGGCAUGCCUAACACAUGCAAGUCGAACGAGACCUUCGGGUCUAGUGGCGCACGGGUGCGUAACGCGUGGGAAUCUGCCCCUUGGUUCGGAAUAACAGUUAGAAAUGACUGCUAAUACCGGAUGAUGACGAAAGUCCAAAGAUUUAUCGCCGAGGGAUGAGCCCGCGUAGGAUUAGCUAGUUGGUGAGGUAAAGGCUCACCAAGGCGACGAUCCUUAGCUGGUCUGAGAGGAUGAUCAGCCACACUGGGACUGAGACACGGCCCAGACUCCUACGGGAGGCAGCAGUGGGGAAUAUUGGACAAUGGGCGAAAGCCUGAUCCAGCAAUGCCGCGUGAGUGAUGAAGGCCUUAGGGUCGUAAAGCUCUUUUACCAGGGAUGAUAAUGACAGUACCUGGAGAAUAAGCUCCGGCUAACUCCGUG